GAUGAACGCUGGCGGCGUGCCUAAUACAUGCAAGUCGAGCGAACAGACGAGGAGCUUGCUCCUCUGACGUUAGCGGCGGACGGGUGAGUAACACGUGGAUAACCUACCUAUAAGACUGGGAUAACUUCGGGAAACCGGAGCUAAUACCGGAUAAUAUAUUGAACCGCAUGGUUCAAUAGUGAAAGACGGUUUUGCUGUCACUAAUAGAUGGAUCCGCGCCGCAUUAGCUAGUUGGUAAGGUAACGGCUUACCAAGGCAACGAUGCGUAGCCGACGUGAGGGGGUGAUCGGCCACACUGGAACUGAGACACGGUCCAGGCUCCUACGGGAGGCAGCAGUAGGGAAUCUUCCGCAAUGGGCGAAAGCUUGACGGAGCAACGCUGCGUGAGUGAUGAAGGUCUUCGGAUCGUAAAACUCUGUUAUUAGGGAAGAACAAAUGUGUAAGUAACUAUGCACGUCUUGACGGUACCUAAUCAGAAAGCCACGGCUAACUACGUG
rnacentral:rRNA from 1 species